GAGACGCUGAUGGACCCUGCGUCUAGUCAACGACCGUAGGUUGUGCACGGCGGCCGGAGCACCUUCGGGAAACGCUAACCGCCGUGCAUCUCUGCGCCCACGGUCCUGCUCGACAGUGGCUGAGACGUGCAACACAGUUGCGCCCAACUUCCCUCUAUGCUACAAGCACCCCAGGAGCUACUAUCGCCCAAAGAUGUCACAGGUGGUCAUGGUUCUUUGAGGCAG